UUUGAUAAAAAUGAUCAAGAAUAGUUGCACUAGAGUUAACUGCUUUCACCUUGAAGUGCCAAAAGUAGAAAAUUAAUGGUAUAAAAUGUGCAAGAGUGUUACGAAGUAUUCCAAGUAUUCUAAGUAUUUUAGUAUCCGAUACUCCAAAAUUUAAAGCUCCUGCUUCUUCAACAUAAAGUUCUAUCUUGACCUCAUCAAGCUUAAAAUUUAGAUAGAAGCAGUUGCAUAUUAAGAGCAAGGAGCAGG
rnacentral:lncRNA from 1 species